rnacentral:rRNA from 1 species
CCUACGGGAGGCAGCAGUGGGGAAUAUUGCACAAUGGGGGGAACCCUGAUGCAGCGACGCCGCGUGGGUGAAGGAGUAUUUCGGUAUGUAAAGCCCUAUCAGCAGGGAAGAACAAUGACGGUACCUGACUAAGAAGCACCGGCUAAAUACGUGCCAGCAGCCGCGGUAAUACGUAUGGUGCAAGCGUUAUCCGGAUUUACUGGGUGAAAAGGGAGCGUAGACGGCAGCGCAAGUCUGGAGUGAAAUGCCGGGGCCCAACCCCGGAACUGCUCUGGAAACUGUGAAGCUGGAGUGCAGGAGAGGUA